rnacentral:rRNA from 1 species
GACGAACGCUGGCGGCGUGCUUAACACAUGCAAGUCGAGCGGUAAGGCCUUUCGGGGUACACGAGCGGCGAACGGGUGAGUAACACGUGAGUGAUCUGCCCUUCACUUCGGGAUAAGCAUUCGAAAGGGUGUCUAAUACCGGAUAGGACCAGUACCUGCAUGGGUGUUGGUGGAAACCUUUUUGGGUGGGGGAUGUGCUCGCGGCCUAUCAGCUUGUUGGUGGGGUAAUGGCCUACCAAGGCUUCGACGGGUAGCCGGCCUGAGAGGGUGACCGGCCACACUGGGACUGAGACACGGCCCUGACUCCUACGGGAGGCAGCAGUGGGGAAUAUUGGACAAUGGGCGGAAGCCUGAUCCAGCAACGCCGCGUGAGGGAUGACGGCCUUCGGGUUGUAAACCUCUUUCACCUGUGACGAAGCUGCUCAUUUUUGGGUGGUGACGGUAGUGGGAUAAGAAGCACCGGCCAACUACGUGCCAGCAGCCGCCGUAA